AGAGUCAGCUGCUUAACCGACUGAGCCACCCAGGCGUCCUGCAAAUACUUUUUAUUUAGGAUUGCUUGAAAGCAUAUAGCAGAAGGCAACUAAAUACUCCACCACAGUGCCUAUCAUAAUAUUGCCAAGACAAACUGGACUAAUUUAUGAUAAAAACACUUAUAAAAUGCAUACUGCAACCUAAAUCAACAAGAUCUGCAAGCGAAUUCCACAAGUCUGAGGAAAUAUACAGGAUCAGAUCAGAGACAAGAUCUUCGGCAUCAUCAGCAUUCUCCCAUCCCUGCACUCAGUAAGUCCAGGGACAGAGAUCAUACAUCUAACAUCAGUAGCCCCAAGAGGAAUGGCUCUAAGAGACUGGGAACACUGGACUUUCAGAAGGCUCUAGAAACUGCUGAGGGACUGUCUUCCUUCCUUUAACACAUCUAAUCAAAGGCAUGGAUGGUCAAGGGAGGCCAUAAGUGGCCCUCAAAGAAGUUUCUCGACAAUCACAGAUGGAUUUUCUCGAAAUGGCAGGAGCCACUCAUUUGGAAACCCGAAGGUCCCUGUGCCAAUGGUUCCCAAACCACAUACAGAAAUAGCAGCGCUGAAGAGAAACAUGAAACUUAACAAAUUACCCCCGAAGAAUGUCUCCUUCAGGAAGGGUUAAAAGCUGGGAAAAACAGGAAACUGCACUUGUAGAAGGUUUUUUUGAAAGCAACUAGGCUCACCACUGUAGAAGUCUUUUGAAGUAAAA